UCUGGUGGCGAUAGCAAAGAGGUCACACCUGUUCCCAUGCCGAACACAGAAGUUAAGCUCUUUAGCGCCGAUGGUAGUUGGGCUUA
rnacentral:rRNA from 1 species